rnacentral:rRNA from 1 species
GAGUUUGAUCAUGGCCAGGAUGAACGCUGGCGGCGUGCUUAACACAUGCAAGUCGAACGGUGAAAGCGGAGCUUGCUCUGCUGGAUCAGUGGCGAACGGGUGAGUAACACGUGAGCAAUCUGCCCCUGACACUGGGAUAAGCGCUGGAAACGGCGUCUAAUACCGGAUACGAGCUGCGAAGGCAUCUUCAGCAGCUGGAAAGAAUUUCGGUCAGGGAUGAGCUCGCGGCCUAUCAGCUUGUUGGUGAGGUAACGGCUCACCAAGGCGUCGACGGGUAGCCGGCCUGAGAGGGUGACCGGCCACACUGGGACUGAGACACGGCCCAGACUCCUACGGGAGGCAGCAGUGGGGAAUAUUGCACAAUGGGCGAAAGCCUGAUGCAGCAACGCCGCGUGAGGGACGACGGCCUUCGGGUUGUAAACCUCUUUUAGCAGGGAAGAAGCGAAAGUGACGGUACCUGCAGAAAAAGCACCGGCUAACUACGUGCCAGCAGCGCGGUA